CUGUCGCCGAACAACACGCUCCGAACAACCCACCGCCGAACAAUUGGCUCGUCGUCGCCGAUGGAUCUGCAGCUCGUCGCCGCCGCCGCCACGUCUGCAACAGUUCCGCCGCAUCUGCAACUUGUCGUCUCCGGCCGAUUUCCUCAUCCGCCGUGUCUAGUCGUCCUCUUCCGGCAUUGUGGGAGAGAGAAAGCGAGGCAGACUUGGGCGAAAUCGAUCGCCAACUGUGGCGACGAUUUUGGGCUUCGCCAAAACUUUGGCGAUGAUGAGCACCGUUGGAGGUCUCCAAAACCGGUUGGAUCGCUAUUGAUUUGGCUUGACGAGCAGAUUGGCGACCUGUUGGAGUCAGAUCAACAAUCUCCUUGUCUCUACAUCAUCUCGUCAAUCGAUCUCCAUCCCUCUUUAGGUUGGACAAUCGUCCAAAUCCAAUCCGCACUAAAACAACGGGUGUACCGUUACUUAUUCCUUACUUCUGCUUUAGUGUUUACUGGUGCAAUAAUUUCGUGUUGCUUGGAUUUCAUCAAUUUCUAAUGUAUUUGAGUGAAAGGGUUUCUAUGUGUGAGUGAAAGUGUUUCAAUUGAUUGGAACACAUACAGAUGUUUGUUAUAUCAAUUGAUUGGAAUUUUUUGGAACAAAUCUGAAUCUCCAACGGGCGGUUAUUCUGCUCGCCAAAGCAUGGAAUAGGGAGCCCAUGCUCUUCCGCUGUGGCUCGAGUCUUGGUACUCUUUUUUUUCUGCUAUAAAAAUUAGGUUAUGUCCGUCAGAUGAGUUUAACGAUUCCUGAUUGGGUAAAGACGCUGCCAGCCCCCUGUACUUUUCGUUAAAUUUGUGCACUUCAGCAGGACCUAUUGUGUCCCUCUAAGAUACAAUUUGGGAUUCAUUGUGUCCUCAUUCUCUGCGUGCCAUACACGAGCUCUGCCUUCUCUGCCACUGACCGCCGCUAUCAUCGCCACCGCCGUCGACUGCGCCUGUCGCCGUCAACCGCACCGCCAUUAGUGGCCGACGCCGCCGCUAUCGUCGCCGUCAUUGCUGCGUCCGGUCGUCUUCUUCAGCGAGAUCUGGGCGACCCUUCGUCUUCUCCGAUUAUCGCAGCAGCCGCCUCGCCGUUUGCCCCUUCGCCGGUCGUUUCUUCCUCGCCAUCGCCGUCCGCCGCCCCCGUCGCAGACCGCCUCUUUCCCCGCCGAUCGCCUUUGUUUUGUUCGGUCAAGCUUCGCCUCCGUCGCCUCUGCCAGUCACCGACGACUAUUGCUUCCCCUCCCUCCGUUGGUCGAUCUCGCAUCGCCGGUCCUUUGGGACUCAUACUCGCCGGACGUCUGUCCAUUGUCGCCGUCAAUCGCUGCCCAUCCAGCCCUUCGUCCGCCAUUAACGAGCUAGCUGCCCAGAUGAAGGAGAGGGUAAUUUUGUAAAUUAAGAAAUAGUGUGAGGGCAAAAUUGGCAGUUGCAGGGAUUCCUUUCAUUUCUCACGCGCCUCAAUUGCGCGUUAUUCCACACGCAUUGCUGACUGGAUUAUGAUGGGGCUGAUGGGUCUAAAUUAAAAGUUGGUGCCUAAUAGGCUCCAAAUUAGAAGUUGAGGGGGGCACAUAGGUGCUCUUUGCUUAAACAGAAAAAGAUAGUCAUAUCCCGUUUGGAACGCUAGACAAAGCGUUCUCGUAGAGUUCAGCGAAGAGAAAAUUUGAUUACUGAGAGAAUUUCGCCGCUACUCUUUCGUCUCGGCUUGUCAACAAUGUCCGGUUAUAUAAAUGUCGAACUGCCACUGGAUAAAUUGUCUUUCGGCUUUGCAGAACCAGAAGAAUCAUCAAAAAAGGGAUCCGAGGACAAGAAGUAUGUAGUUCUUGUAUCGACUGGAAGUUUCAAUCCUCCUACUUAUAUGCACUUGCGUAUUUUUGAGCUGGCUAGAGAUGCAUUAAACUCGGACGGAUUUUGUGUAAUUGGAGGUUACAUGUCUCCUGUCAAUGAUGCCUACAAGAAAAAGGGUCUUAUACCUGCUAAACAUCGUAUUGAAAUGUGUCGCCUAGCUUGCAGAAGUUCAGAGUUCAUAAUGGUGGAUCCCUGGGAGGCCAGUCAAGAUACCUUCCAACGCACGUUGACUGUUCUGUGUAGAAUCAGGACCUCAUUGAGUGAGGGUGAGAAGAUAUCUGGAGGACCUUUGAAGGUCAUGCUUGCUUGCGGCUCUGAUCUGCUAGAAUCUUUUAGCAUUCCUGGAGUCUGGAUUCCUGAGCAGGUAAGAGCCAUAUGUAGAGACUUUGGUAUAGUUUGCAUUCGUCGAGAAGGUCAAGACAUUGAGAGAACCAUCUCUAAUGAUGAGAUUUUAAAUGAGUACAGGAAUAACAUCAAAGUUGUGGAUGAACUUGUCCCAAACCACAUCAGUUCAACACGAAUAAGGGACUGCAUUUCGAGGGGGCGGUCAGUAAAAUAUUUAACAGCCAAUGAGGUGAUUGAUUAUAUCAAGCAGCAGCGUUUAUACUCCAACUCCUCUGACUAAUGGAUCCAAUCUGCAACAACUCUUUUUUAAGGAUCUCCACCAGCUUGUUAUUGAAGAGGCGGUUCUUAAAUUAAGGUAAUCAAUCUGAUGUGUGUUUUUCAGGCUCUGGAUGGGAGUGGCCAGCAAAAUUAGUCCUUAAAUUGAUUAUGAUUGCACCAUCUUAUUAUUUUUUUUAAAUCAGUUAAUAAACUUUCUUGAAACAACUCUGUAUUCUAAUGGGUGUCAUGUCGAUUUUAAAUAAGUAUGAGAAUUUAGUGAUAAUUUUUUGGGCA